CUCCCUCUCUUGCUUCGUCCUCCUUCUCCCCUUUCGUUCUCUUUUUCUUUCUAUUGUUCUUUCGCUCCUAACUUCGUUGUUUAUUCCUCGGGUCAGCCACCACCGCACGACCACCGUGCCCCGCGGCCGACCACCGUUCUCCACCUCCGCAGUCAACCACCACCGGCGUGCUGCACCAUCGUUGCUUCUUGCUCUCCCUCCUCACGUCAAUCCCCUUUAUUCUUUGCUUGCUUCACCACCAACCGUCGACCACCUCGUGCACCGUCGCCCACGACAGCAGCCAGCCCAACCGCAACCGCUCGCGCCGCCGUGCCUCUGACCGCCGGCCGCCCACUCUUCUCUCCUUAUUUGGCGGAUAAUUCUCUUUAGGCGACUUUUGAAAGUGUUAAAGUGGUCUAUCAAUUUGUUUACACAAGUCUCUAAGGAUCAAUAAGCAUUGUCCAUCUGCAGGUUUGAAGAUGUUGCAUCAUUGGGAUCGGGAAUAGAGAGCUUGUAUUUAGUUUUGAUUUGCUAAGUUGACUUGGGUUUGUUUAAUUGGACUUUAAACUGGUCGUACUAUUUAUAUUUCCUUAUUUUUCGUUUAUUGGUUUUUGGGAUUAAACCUGUAAUCGAUUAUUUAUAAACCUAAAGUUAGUUUUAUGUUUUCCGCUGCAAAAUUCUGAAUAAGCCGUUACGU